UUUAACUUAGUUUAAUUUAAAACGUAAGCUUGUCAGGCUUUAGAUGCAAAAUAUUUUGUAGUUAAAU
rnacentral:tRNA from 1 species